AAUGCCAUUUUGAAAGUGGAUAAAUGAAACAUGUUAUAAUUUGUAUUACACGUUCAGUAAAGUACAAAUUGUAGUACUUUUAUUAUGCUUAGCCCCAUCCAGAAUUCGAACCCAC